rnacentral:rRNA from 1 species
AUAUUUUAUAAAAAUAAUUUAUUUUGUUUAUGUUUAAGUAUUAAUUAAAAAUAAAUUUUUAGAUUUAUAGUUUAUUAGUAUUGUGAAAGAAUUAUUUAAAUUUAAAAAAGAAUAUUUUAGUACCUUUUGUAUCAGGGUUAAUUAAAAUUUUUAAUUUAUUUUAAAUUCUCAAAAUUUAUAGAGUUAAUUUUAUUAUUAAUUUAUUAUUAUAUAAAUAUUUAAAAAAUAUUAUUAGUUUAAAAAUUUAAUUCGUUAUAUUAUAUUUAGUUAUUUAAGAUUUAAAUUUAAUUUAAAAUUUUAAAAGUUAUUAUUAAUUUAAAUUAUAAUUAUUUUAAAAUUAAAUUAUUUUAGGGAUAAGCUUGAAAUUUUUAUAUAAAAAUUUUAAUUUAAAAAUAAUUAAUAGGAUUAGAAAUUUUCAAUUUAAGUUUGUAAAAAUUUAUUAUUUAAUUAAUUAAAAUUUAUUAAAAUUAUAUUUAUUUUUUAUAUUAAAUUUUAUAAAUUAAUUAUUAAUUUAUAGUAAUAAUGAUUAAAUUAGUAUAAUUAUUAUUUAUAAAUUAUGAAUUCGGCAAAAAUUAUUUUCAUCUGUUUAACAAAAACAUUGUAUUAAGUUUAAUUUAAUAUAGAAUCUGCUCAAUGAAUUAUUUAAAUAGCUGCAGUAUUUUGACUGUGCAAAGGUAGCAUAAUAAUUAGUCUUUUAAUUGGGGACUUGAAUGAAAGAUUUGAUGAAAAAUAAACUUUAUUAUUUAUAUAUUUAAAAUUUUAUUUUUAAGUAAAAAAGCUUAAAUAUUUUAAAGGGACGAUAAGACCCUAUAAAACUUUAUAAAUAAUAAUUUUUAAAUUUUUGGUUUAUAAAUAUUUAAAUUUAAUUAUUUAUUUUAUUGGGGUGAUAAAAAAAAAUAUUUAACUUUUUUUAAAUUUAUACAUUAUUUAAUGAAAUUUUGAAUUAAAAUUUUUAAUUUAAAGAAAAAGUUACUUUAGGGAUAACAGCGUAAUUAAUUUUUUAAGUUCAAAUUUAAAAAUUAGUUUGCGACCUCGAUGUUGAAUUAAGAAUAAUUUUAGGUGCAAAAUUUUAAAUAUUAGGUCUGUUCGACCUUUAAAUUCUUACAUGAUUUGAGUUCAAACC